UACGUAGGGUGCGAGCGUUGUCCGGAAUUAUUGGGCGUAAAGGGCUCGUAGGCGGUUUGUCGCGUCGGGAGUGAAAACCCAGGGCUUAACCCUGGGCUGGCUUUCGAUACGGGCAGACUAGAGGUAUGCAGGGGAGAACGGAAUUCCUGGUGUAGCGGUGAAAUGCGCAGAUAUCAGGAGGAACACCGGUGGCGAAGGCGGCACUCUGGGCCGGAACUGACGCUGAGACGCGAAAGCGUGGGGAGCAAACAGG
rnacentral:rRNA from 1 species